rnacentral:tRNA from 1 species
ACCUAAAUAGUUUAAAUAAAACGUUAGCUUGUGGUGUAAAAGAUGUAGAGAUUUCUUUACUUUAGGUA